UAUUCUUCAAGGUAUUUCUACAGCGCUGUGUCCCGGCCUGGCAUCGGGGAGCCCCGGUUCAGAGUCGUAAGCUACAUGGACGCUUUGGCAGCAAUGAGGAGACUCCGAGGUUGGCACCCUGGCUGGAACAGAAGGAGACAGAUUACUGGGAACAGCAGACUCUUAUAGUCAGGACUCAAGCACAGCUAUCUGAAAGGAACCUGAUGACCCUGGUUCGUUUUUACAACAAGAGUGUGGACGACUCUCACACACCUCAGUGGCUGCAAGGCUGCGAUGUGGAACCAAAUGGGCGCCUGCUUCACUGGUCCAACCAGCAUGCCUAUGAUGGCUUGGAUCUCUCGACCUGGAAGAAAGACCUGAGUUCCUGGACAGCAGCGACCCACACUGGACCUCAGAUACCUCAUCACAAGAUAGAAGACUACCUGAAGAGCCACUGCUGCAGAAAUACCUCAAAAAAGGGAAGGAGAGGCUGCUGCAUUCAGACCCUCCAAAGGCACAUGUGACCCGUCACCCCAGACCUGCAGGUGAUGUCACCCUGAGGUGCUGGGCCGUGGGCUUCUACCCUGCUGACAUCACGCUGACCUGGCAGUUGAAUGGGGAGGACCUGACCCAGGACAUGGAGCUUGUGGAGACCAGGCCUGCAGGGGAUGGAACCUUCCAGAAGUGGGCAGCUGUGGUGCUGCCUUCUGGGAAGGAACAGAAGUUCACAUGCCAUCUGCAACAUGAAGGACUGUAUCAGCCUCUCACACUGAGAGGGGGUAAGGA
rnacentral:lncRNA from 1 species